rnacentral:lncRNA from 1 species
GUACAAACCACGUUCAAGUAUGCCUACCUCAAUCGUCUUCCAUGUUAAAAGAUCAUGGAUAAAACAUGGAUGAUGUAAGAAUAACAACAAACAUUUAUGCUUGAGUGCAAGACUACUGGCAGACAUUAGAUUGCAUUUGAAACAUGGUACUACUAAGACAUCUGUUAAGGUUAGUGUCUCAGAUAACUUCACAGUGCCAAUGUGUGUGACUUUUACAAUAUCUCCAUUAGGUAAUUUAAUCGAAGCAUCAACUUCAUUAUGCACAGUGGUUAAUUGAUCAAGAGAACAAACCAUGUGUUCUGAUGCCCCAGUGUCAAUGAUCCCCUUACCUGGAAUUGUAGGGCAAACAUGAUUACCUAAGAAAGCAAAGGCAUCAGGUACUUGAGUGGGAGAAGAUAUAACUUCCUGAGAUUGUUGAUUUACAGUAGUAAGUUUUCCUUGCAACUGUGGAGCAAGCAUCGCUAUAAUUUGCUGACAUUGGCUUGGUGUAAUGGUGACAUUGGAUAGGGCAUUGAUCACUUCUGAACUAUCAGUCUGCCUUACAUCAUUAGCAAUUGAGGUUUUACCCUUAGCAAGUCUAUGGCCAGGAGGAUAUCCAAUCAAUUUAUAACACUUUCCUCUGAGAUGGCCUAGCAUACGACAGUAGCUACAUAUAGGCCUCUCCUUCCUCUGUGUUUGACUAGAUACAUUAAAUCUUGAGUUACCAUAUGAACCUGAGACUGUUUUGCUAGCAAGAGCUGCCACAUCAAAAUUUGGUUGCCUUUUUGCUACGACUCCUCUUUGCCUCUCAUCUUGUAAAACUAGAGCAAACUCCUUGUUUAGUGAAGGUAAUGGAUUCAUCAACAAAAUUUGGCUUCUCACGUUGGAAAACUGAUCAUCUAGUCCCAUCAGAAAUUGAAUGACUUGAUCUUCAGCCUUAAAAUCUGCAUUACUUACUUCUGGUCUAUAAUUGUCCAAUUCCUCUAUAGACCUUUGAAUCGAUUGAAGUAAGUGUUGACAGAGUUAUUGUCUUGAAAAAUUGAUGUGAUCUGCUUCUUUAUCUCAUAAAUCCAAGUUCCAUUACCUUGACUAUAUCGAUCUCUAAGCUCGAUCCAGAUCUUCCUUGCUGAAUCCUUGUGCAUGAUGCUUGGAUAUAGCUCCUUUGGAAUGGAAUUGAUGAUCCAAGAGGAAACAACGUGGUUGAAUCUUCUCCAAGCAUUGCACAGUAGAUCAUUUGAGGCAGGUUUAGCGAUUGAUCCAUCUAUGAAUCCUUCUUUAUUUUUAAGACUCCAUGUGGCAUAGUUAUCCUUUGAUAAGAUGACAGAAAUGAGUUGCAUUUCUGUAUUAUCUCCUUACUGAAGAUAAUAGGGACUAGUGGGAUCGCUAAUCAAUCGAUUAGCGAGAGAGGUUGCAUCUUCAACAACCACAUCUCCAGCCGAAGGAUCAAUAGCUAAGUCGG